GCUAGUCCUUUCUUUCUAUGGCAUGAAUCUUAUAGCUUGACCCUCUUUUUAUCCAUGAGUUUCCUUAAGUUCCGGAAAAUAUGAGUCUAUGUCCAUAAUUAGCCACACAAGGUAAUGAGUAAAGUAUAGAAAUCCCAAUACUCAUGUUGUGAUGAUCCUAUGAUGUUAAUGAUGUUAUUUAUUUCUUACACUCAUCUUAUAUGCUAAUUCCUUCAAGGUGAGGCAGGAUGUCAAUGAAUAUUCCAUAAUGACGUCGGAAGCCACCGACCUUACGUCACUCCGAUAUAGUUAUAGCUUUUGCUUGGGCUCUUAUGCAUGCUUUAUAUAUAUAUAUGUAUGUAUUUUCUCACACCGCGCCGCACUAUAGUCGGCCGGGCAGGCACGUAGAUGUGCACACCACUAUAGUGGGCAGCUUAUACCCCGGACGCGGGAGGCCUGGACGCAGGCUAUGAUUAUCACACCGCUCCUACAUGGACGGGCAGCUUAUACAUUAUCACACCGUACCUAUAUGGACGGGCAGCUUAUAUAUGUAUACAUACAUGACAUGAUAAUGAUUAUGAGUAGACAAGGAGGUGAGCUUGAUCCAGAUUCUUAGUAGCUGUCAGCUGAUUGAGAGCACUCCAUUGUUCGGAGGUGCUUAUGAUCCUUCUUUUGGUAUAUAUGCAUAUUUUGGGCACAACGAAGUCUUGUUCCGUCUAUAUGUUUAGUAUGUCAGUAGAGGCUCGUAGAUACGCAGUGUGGGUCAGAUGGUCUCACAAGAUGUUAUUAUUAUGUAUAUAUUAUUUUGGUGGCCGAGAGGCAAAAGUGGUAUAAGUAUUUAUGUUUCUAUAUAAAAUAUAAUUUUCCUACAAUUCGUGUAUAAAAUUGGUAAAAGAGCAUUAAAUGAGUAAGAUGAGUAUUAGAGCGAGUGGUGCUCGGUGGCUAGCCCCGGGUACCCGUCACGGUCCCUAGCUGGGUCGUGACAGAAGUGGUAUCAGAGCAGUUCGUCCUAGGAAGUGUCUACGAGCCGUGUCUAGUAGAGUCUUGUUUAUAGUGUGUAGCGCGCCACGCCAAUAAACAGGAGGCUACCGGGCAUUUAGGAAAAAUGACCAUCUUUCAUCUUAAGAGAUCGUGCGAUAGAGCCAAAAGAUAGGAAAUGGUAUCCCUUAUAUACUGAUCUUUGAUUUUAGCAAGAGAGUGGUGUCGACAAGAGAAGACAAAUAAUGCUACUGGAAAUUACAGAGAUUAAUAUUUCAUUAAGGUUACGUUAUCAGAAAUUGUAUAUACGGAAUGGCGACUGGUCAUCAUCACGGUUAGUAAUUGUGAAUAUAGUAAGAAAAUGGAUUGAAUGUAUAUAUAUUUAUGAUAAGUUCAGUUACAAAGUGUGAACAGAAGAAGCUGAAGAAAUUAGUAAAAAGAUAAGUAAGCAGGGUAUAUGUUAGAUAUAGUGCGAAUGUUGCAGGUAUGAUUGAAAUGUCGCUAGAGAUUAAAAAGGGGAAGUGAACAGAAGAGUAUAACAGGUACAGUUUGAAUUGGACAUACGAGGUAAGUUCAUCAUUUCUAUACAGUUGUUGAUAUCGGGAGCCCUGUGUGGCUAUGAUAUGCUAUAUAUAUAUGUUGGCCCUGUGACGCAUUGUUGGUAUUUUCUGCGUGUAGGUUUUGGGAUAGUAAGAAAUACAGAGGAAACUCUGUCAAAAAUUUUCUUAAAAAAAAAAAGAAUAAUAAUAAUAAUAAUAAAUCUUGAAAAGUCAUGUCAACAGUAGUGAUAGGAU